GACGAACGCUGGCGGCGUGCUUAACACAUGCAAGUCGAACGGAAAGGCCCUGCUUUUGUGGGGUGCUCGAGUGGCGAACGGGUGAGUAACACGUGAGUAACCUGCCCUUGACUUUGGGAUAACUUCAGGAAACUGGGGCUAAUACCGGAUAGGAGCUCCUGCUGCAUGGCGGGGGUUGGAAAGUUUCGGCGGUUGGGGAUGGACUCGCGGCUUAUCAGCUUGUUGGUGGGGUAGUGGCUUACCAAGGCUUUGACGGGUAGCCGGCCUUAGAGGGUGACCGGCCACAUUGGGACUGAGAUACGGCCCAGACUCCUACGGGAGGCAGCAGUGGGGAAUAUUGCACAAUGGGCGGAAGCCUGAUGCAGCAACGCCGCGUGCGGGAUGACGGCCUUCGGGUUGUAAACCGCUUUCGCCUGUGACGAAGCGUGAGUGACGGUAAUGGGUAAAGAAGCACCGGCUAACUACGUG
rnacentral:rRNA from 1 species